GAUGAACGCUGGCGGCGUGCCUAAUACAUGCAAGUCGAACGGAAGGACGCGGAGCUUGCUUGUCGGAUGUUAGCGGCGGACGUGUGAGUAACACGUGGGUCACCUACCUAUAAGACUGUGAUAACUACGGGAAACCGGAGCUAAUACCGGAUAAUAUUUUGAACCGCAUGGUUCAAAAGUGAAAGACGGUCUUGCUGUCACUUAUAGAUGGAUCCGCGCUGCAUUAGCUAGUUGGUAAGGUAACGGCUUACCAAGGCAACGAUGCAUAGCCGACCUGAGAGGACGAUCGGCCACACUGGAACUGAGACACGGUCCAGACUCCUACGGGAGGCAGCAGUAGGGAAUCUUCGGCAAUGGGCGAAAGCCUGACGGAGCAACGCCGCGUGAGGGAUGAAGGUCUUCGGAUCGUAAAACUCUGUUAUAAGGGAAGAACAGAUUUGGAAGUAACUGCGCAGAUCUUGACGGUACCGAAUCAGAAAGCCACGGCUAACUACGUG
rnacentral:rRNA from 1 species